GACGAACGCUGGCGGCGUGCUUAACACAUGCAAGUCGAACGGAAAGGCCCUGCUUUUGUGGGGUGCUCGAGUGGCGAACGGGUGAGUAACACGUGAGUAACCUGCCCUUGACUUUGGGAUAACUUCAGGAAACUGGGGCUAAUACCGGAUAGGAGCUCCUGCUGCAUGGUGGGGGUUGGAAAGUUUCGGCGGUUGGGGAUGGACUCGCGGCUUAUCAGCUUGUUGGUGGGGUAGUGGCUUACCAAGGCUUUGACGGGUAGCCGGCCUGAGAGGGUGACCGGCCACAUGGGGACGGAGAUACGGCCCAGACUCCUACGGGAGGCAGCAGUGGGGAAUAUUGCACAAUGGGCGGAAGCCUGAUGCAGCAACGCCGCGUGCGGGAUGACGGCCUUCGGGUUGUAAACCGCUUUCGCCUGUGACGAAGCGUGAGUGACGGUAAUGGGGAAAGAAGCACCGGCUAACUACGU
rnacentral:rRNA from 1 species